CCGGGGGUCUUCCAGGACCAGAGGGAGAACAAGGACCCCAGGGGCCCACAGGACUGGUAGGACCUCAAGGAGACCUAGGAGAACUGGGUCCUCCAGGCCGGCCAGGUCUCAACGGGGCUGAUGGGAUACCAGGUCCUCCAGGGAACAUCCUCGUUGUUCAGUUCCAGGCAGGUGGUGUCCAACUAACAGGACCAGUGAUAUCAGCCCAGGAGGCUCAAGCCCAGGCCAUCCUACAACAGACCAAGGUAAAGACAGCAACAUCACUGUAACAUCACCUUAUA